CAUGUAAGUGCUUUUAUUUAAAAAAUGGCGCCGAAAAUCAAAAAAUGAUCUCUUCAAAGUACCAUCUAAACUUGAGCUCUCAGAAAAGGUGCUACACUUAUACAUCGGAGCAAAUUUAAAAAAUAAACAACAUUGUAAAACCAAUAGCUUCCUCGCUACGCUCGGAAUCUAAAAAAUACUAACAAAUAAAAAGAACCAUGUUCGACAUUUU